UCAAAUUUUAUUAUAUUCAUUUUUCAACUUUUUAUAUAUUGCAAAGAACACCUUUAUUUUAUAAGAUUUUAGAUUAUUUUCACUUAUUUUUAAAUUAUACAAUUUAACCAAACUUCAACUUGUAAAAAGCAAAUACUUAUUACCUACAGGCUCUUGAAUAGUUUGUACUAUGGUAGACCAUUUUGGAUAUAUUCGAUCAGCCAAAUAAUAACUCAUAUUAUAUUUUUUUCCUUGAAUGACAUAUUGAGCAGGAUGAGCAAUACCUUGAGAAAGAUUGGAGAAAAGAUGAGAAAAUUCUUACACAUUGAUAUCAUUAUUGGUGCCCGGCAUACCAAAAUAUGUAUGUCAUAUCCAAAGAUCAUAUUGGGUAUAAAGUUAUAAAAGUUAUGUUUAGUGUUAAUGUUUUGUUUAUGCAUAAAAUAAAGAUUGUCAUUAAAUAAAGGAUCAUUAUGUAAAUAAAAAAAGCUUGACAUCAAAAAUGAGGUUGUGAAUAGUGUUCCCUCAAAUUUGAUGGAAUACUGUUCAUAUACUCAGUUUUUCCUCAAAAUGAUGUACCAUUAGAAAUGAAUUUUUCUUAUUUUUUGAUGUUUUUUCUCAUUUUGAUGCACCAUUGGAGAUGCUCUAAUGGAUCUCUUUCCUCUUUUCUUGUUUGCAUUUGUUAAUGAUUGUGGGGUCCAUUUAAUGUUGGUUAAGUGUGGUCGUUUUGGUUUAGUCUGGUCUGAUUUGUGUUCUCCGCUUUUAGUUCCAUAAAUGAGUAAAACUCUGCCUGUUUCAAGUCUCAUCGGAUUAGGACUUCAAUGUCCUCUUGGCAGAACUCAACCUGGUUGUCUCCUCUUUAAUGGUCCUCUACUCAUCUCUUCACCUCACCCUAUGUUAUCUCUUCACCUCCCUGAGGUUCAAUGUAUUUUUUUUUUAAUUUGGCAAUUAAUGUCGACGCCUCUGUUUCCUUGAAAUCUAUAUAUAUAUAUCAGGGGGUUGAGAGUAGAAGGGAUAUUCAGAACCUCUAUCAGAUUCUCAUUUUCUUAAGCGUUUAAUUGAUCUCAAAAAUGUCUUCCUCCGAUACCGUUCUCGCGCAAUCAGGCUUUGACGCCGUCCGUUGUCGGAAGAUCUGUGGAAUCACUCUUAUCCUCCUUGAUGAGAAGGCUUCUCACGUAUCCCCAUCUACAAGGUACACGAGAGGCUAGGGCUCACAAAAUUCAUUGGCUUACAUCACCGCACAACAACCAUGAGUUUAUUCCCUUGUCAAGCUUCCAUGGCGGCGUCUCAAGAUUUCAAACCCUAACCCAUUUAUUUGUUUCCUCUGCAAGCUUUUCUAGCUCAUCUCCCUGUCUCCCCAAAUUUGUGAAGGAAUGACAACACAUGUGGCUGAUACGUCUGCCAUUUCUCAGCUUCAAGUCAGAAGCAGUACUGAAAAAUGAAGUUAAGAAGAGAAACCUCUUUAUAACAUUUUCCUUCGCUUUCUUCAAGAGUGAGACCCUUGUAUCAUGCACAAUGAAGUAUAUCAGGAAGAGAGAAACACAUAUCACCCAAAUCCACAGAUCAGUACUCAAGCUCAUGCAGAAAAAAAAUACCAGUUGGUCAGCCGAGAGCUAUAUGGGAAUCUCUAGAGGGAGCGUCUCAAUAGAUCUGCCAUGUGAGUCCAAGCCAUGUUCAGGUAUAUGCAAGCUCAAGAGGAUGAAGCUCAUGUAAGAUUAUGUUUUAAUUUUAUCAUUCUCUGAACCUCUCAGUUUAGAAAACGCACACACACACACUCUAAAUGAUACUUGAAUAAACAGAGAGUAUUUGUAUAUGGUGUGAUCCCGUUGGAGUGUGACUGUGCAAGAUAUUUGAUCAGAAUGGUGGCUAUGGAUAUGUCAAUCUAAGAUAUUGAUAUAGUAUACUACUCUUGCCCAUCUUUUGCAUGAUUUAAGAAUGGGGUUUCCUCAACGUUUUAGAUAGGAGUUGACCUUUUGUAACUAUUGAUCAUCUUCUUCUUUGCAAAUACUUAAAAAAAUUAAGUCAAGUGACAUACUUUAAUUCCCACUGAUUAUAUAUAUACUUUUAUUAUUUUAAUCAUUUUUUUUUGUUCAUAUAUAUGAUGGAAGUUCAGAAGAUAGCGUAAAGGUUAAGCAGCAGACUACUGAAAUAUGAGUCAAGAAGCUUGCUACGGCAUAUUGUGAAGGAUGUUCCAAACAAUUUACUGAAGCAUAUACCCUUGAGAACAAUGAAG